rnacentral:rRNA from 1 species
CAGCAGUGGGGAAUCUUAGACAAUGGGCGCAASCCUGAUCUAGCCAUGCCGCGUGAGUGAUGAAGGCCCUAGGGUCGUAAAGCUCUUUCRCCWGAGAUGAUAAUGACAGUAUCUGKUAAAGAAACCCCGGCUAACUCCGUGCCAGCAGCCGCGGUAAUACGGAGGGGGUUAGCGUUGUUCGGAAUUACUGGGCGUAAAGCGCACGUAGGCGGAUUAAUAAGUUAGAGGUGAAAUCCCAGGGCUCAACCCUGGAACUGCCUUUAAUACUGUUAGUCUUGAGWUCGAGAGAGGUGAGUGGAAUUCCAAGUGUAGAGGUGAAAUUCGUAGAUAUUCGGAGGAACACCAGUGGCGAAGGCGGCUCACUGGCUCGAUACUGACGCUGAGGUGCGAAAGUGUGGGGAGCAAACAGGAUUAGAUACCCUGGUAGUCCACACCGUAAACGAUGAAUGCCAGACGUCAGCAAGCAUACUUGUUGGUGUCACACCUAACGGAUUAAGCAUUCCGCCUGGGGAGUACGGUCGCAAGAUUAAAACUCAAGGGAAUUGAC